GCUUACGGCCAUACCACCCUGAGAACGCCCGAUCUCGUCUGAUCUCGGAAGCUAAGCAGGGUCGGGCCUGGUUAGUACUUGGCUGGGAGACCGCCUGGGAAUACCAGGUGCUGUAAGCU
rnacentral:rRNA from 1 species